AUGACUUUUCAUUUGCGAUAUUGCUGAGGUUUUAAUGUUUUUUUUUUCCAGAUUUAAGGAAACUUUUUCUCUUAAGCUAACUAUGACUUAAGCAAUUUGCUAAAUUAUACAUUUGGAGGAAAAAUUGACACAUUUAUCUUUUUUCUCCCUGCCUGAUCCCUCCAGAAUUUGGAAACUCUUGAUGAGUGAGUAUUGUUUCCAUGGCAAUACAGUUAUCUGCAUAAGUUAAGUAAGUAUCUGUUUUCCUUAUAACAGGACACAAUUGGAAUCAUUGUUAUAUCACCAAAGCUUUGACUGGAAUAUAAUAUUUGAGAUAAAUAUCCAGAUUCAGAUAUGACAAGACAGUUUUUGAGGAAUAGAUGUUGUCUUUAUGGAAUAAAGCCACUUGGAAAUAUCAGCCUGAUACCUUCUUUAUGAUUCCCAUCAACCUUACUAGGAAUCAUUGAGAACUGAACUGCCCUUUUCCCUGAAAACUUGCAAACUGAAACUGGACAACCUAAUAUAAACUUAAGAAAGAUCCAUGCCUGUUGCUUGUGAGCCACUCAGAAAGAUACCUGAACAUGUAUGACAUCAUUGGACACAUUUCAAACUGUGAAAGAUGCUUCAACUCUGACAUCUACAAAUCCUUUGACAGGCUGCUCCCUGGGCUCAGGAACUGGUCUAUAAUUUGCUCCAACCAUCAACCUUGCUUUUCUUUUUGUUUCUCCAGAAAUGUGUCAUAUUAAAUACCUAGUUACUUGCUUACACAACAUAGGCCUAAACUUGGGAGCCCACCUGCAUCACCGUCUUACUAAGAGAGUGGAUUAAUGACAUGGAUCAACCUACACCCUUUAUCAGUAGGAAGAAGCUGGAGCAGUCAUCUCCCUAUGUCCUUCAAGAUUGAGGAAUGAAGAACAAAAAGGGGGGAUUUGUAAGCCACAGGCCUCCAGGAUCAGUUCAAGUGACCCAAUCUCUUAUCAAGAAAGUUAUUAAGAAUUGUCUUUCAGAAAAACUGCAAAGUCACGUAGCCAGAGCAUGCAUGAAAGAAAAAGUUCUGACCUGAAAUGACCACAGAACUAAAGACCUUCCUCCCCAUGGAACCCUGGGACGCAGACAUGAUCAGAACUUGAAUGUUAGACUCUUAUCAGAAAUGAGGGGUCCCUCAUUCAGGAAGAUCCAAUGUUAAAAUUCCUCCCCCACCCUGUCAUAAAUGUUUAGAACCUUACCAUAAAUGCUUGAAGCCUACCAAUCAAAGCCUAUCCCACCAGCAUUUCUGCAUGCCAGCCUGUUCUCCCUAACCUCUUAAAUUUUGCCCCAAAUCCUCAGUUGGGGAGACAGAUCUGAGGGCACAUGCCCCCUGUCUCCCUGCAGAUUGAUCUUGCAGAAUAAAAGUUGACUUCUCCCCCAAAGGCCGAUGCCACAAUUAACUGGCUUGUUUAUGUGCAUCAGACACAGAACGCCAAUUUUGCACUGUAACAGCAAUGGGGCCUUUAUCGAGUUGCUUAACUUCUCAGAGCCUCAAUUUCUCAUCUGUGGAAAGGGGAUGAUAUUAGUAAUAGUAUUGCUGAAGUGAAAUGAAUGUUUUAUCAUAUGUGAGCAUGUAUAGUAAACUCUGUAUAAGGGAUUAUUCUUGCUUUUUUCUGUUUGGGAGCUAAGGACAAUACAGUAAGACAUGUAGCUAAUCAAACUAGUCCAUUAUGUGGUGUAACGAGCUGUAUUCCCAUAUGCACCAGUAUUCACGAGCUUGUCCUUCCAGUCUUUGUUGUUUGGAAUUUGUUUUAUAACCAUCCAGAAGGGUUUGAGAGGAAAGGUUUAGGUCAUAUUUUAGGAGCAGAAGGGUGCUGUAGAGAAAGAGCUUCUGUUCCAAGUGCUUUGAUAGAAGCACAAGCACUGCCAAGCUCUAGGAAACCAAAGCAGCCUGUCCAGGUGGAGUGUGUGAUGGAAAAGCAAUUCUUCCUUUGAUCUAUUCUCUCUAAGCACCCUUCUAUGCCUUGGGGGCUGUCUCUUUACUGCUAUUGCUCCUUGAGGGUCCCUGCCUUCCACUCGUGUCUAAUUAGGCCCUGGACUCUCUUAGGAAAAGCCCCAGGGUCAACCCACUCCCACAGCAUAGAAAUGUCUUUUGUCCCUUUCUCUCAAGGGUUUUUCUUAUAUUCUAAGCUGGUCUAUAACAUACAUAUUAGUGUAGCUUAGCUCAGCAAGUGAGAGAGGGCCAGUGUAUUAUGUCCCCAGUUACCCUCUAGGUUUUCUGACAGAUGUCCUCCAGAGUCUAAGUGAUUUGAAAGCAAGGUGACAAGUAGGUAAAGGAAGGCUUUGAAGGUUGGUCACUUUUGUCUUCUCUUAAAUUUCAGCAUGUAAAUGGCAUCCUAGUGGUUUUCUGCAUACUGCUCCUUGGAAGUAGGACAGAGAGGACAGAGCUUGGGGACUUUGUGUCCUUGGGCUUGAUCAACGUCUCUGUUCAGAAGAUGUGACAUACUUGUGGUAAAGAGGUGUUCAUGAAAGAGCACCUAAAAUGAAGAUGCCUGUUCUUAUCCAAGGACAAUAACAGACAAACAUUUGCAUGUGGGCAACAAAAUCUUUCAAUCCUAUAACCUCUCUUGGUCUAGACCACCACUGGCCAAUAGAACUUUAUGUUUUAAUUUUAAAGAAUUACUAAAAAUUAAGUAAAUAUCAAAAAAUCUGUUUUGUGGUCACUUUAGCCACAUUUCAAGCGCUCAAGUAGCUACCUGUGGCCAGUGGCUACCAUUUUGGACAGCACAGGUAUAGAUUACACCCCUGUGAAUGUAGGACGGACAUUACUGUGCUCGUUUUAUCCAAUAAUCAACAUCUUGAGGCAGAUAAGAGGUCAUAGACUCAAAGGCCUUUAGGAGCCAGACAGAUAAAGAUGUUCUAUGGGAAUGGUGGGGACGGGGUCACACUGGAGAGUAUAUCCGUGUCCGAACAGCAGCUGUUACUCAGAUUUAGCCAGUUGCUGCCAUUUGGAAAUGCAAGCCCACAGGUACCAGAUCUUUACUCUUUUUCUGUUGCAUUGAUAAUGGAUUUUUAAAAACAACAAUAUAAAGGCUAAAAAACAACAAAAACCAAAAACCCCACAACAAUCUAACCACAUUGGAGCCUUGAUAUAGUCCACGAACCAUGAAAUUUCAAAUCCUGCAGAUGAACCAAAGUAUUGCACCUGAAACAGCUUCUUUGUGGAGAGAGGAGCUUGUAGGAAUGUCGGCUGUAGGAAGCCAGACCUUGGGCAUAAGCUUCCAGAAAUAGGCAGACUAAAUAAAGGAGAUUGUGGUAGAAGUAAAAGAAAAAACCCAAAAACCAAGCUACUUUUUUUUUUUAAGGGUCAAAAGUCAGAGAAGUUCCCACUAUGUGCACAGGCUGAUAGAGAACGAUGGUAGGGCUUGGCCUCCAGAUGUGAAAGAGCCCUAAUAGAGAGAAUGAUUUUCCCCAACGAUCCGAAGUGUUACUUGUCAACAUUUCAUCCACAGGCAAGGGAGAGGAAUGGUGUUUCCAUGCCCCAGUGCAGACAGUUGUUAGUUGACUCCCAAGUCUUCAAUGUACAACUCCAAAAUCAUAGCAUGGUAAGACAUUUCAACAAUACAAACAUUUCAACAACAGGAAUGGAUGAGGGGAAAAUACUUCAGUUUAUAGAAACAUCAAUUAUCUUAAUGAAUAAUCAUUCUGCUGUUCUGUGAUGAAAGUUAUUGCAUAUCCAAGUCAAUCCAUUGUUCUGACUUAUAAGGAUUAGAGACAGCUUUCAAAUUAUCAAAAGUAAAGAACAUCAUUUAGAAAUACCUGUUUUACUAAUUCAAUACUGCAAAAAAAAUUGCUAUAUCUUAAAGUUCAAGUUUCUUUAACCAUCUGUAUUACUAGAUUGUAUUUACUGUGUAUUUUUGGUUCAGAUACUUGAAGAAAAAAUAGUUUAUUUGUAUUUCAAAUUCCUGGGCUAUGUCUUAUUUAUGACUCAGAUGUUCUGCUGAUUGUCUCAAGACUGCUGUUUUAUAAUAUUUUUCUGACGUGAUGCCAAGAAUGUUACAAAAAAAAAAAAAAAACAGAUUGAGAAACCUGAGUCAAACUGAGGCAAACGAGCAAAUUUCAUCCAAAUGAAAAUAGAAUUGGCAGUUUUCAGCAAAUA